CCACUUUGAGUGUUACUAUCAGCCUCUUAACUUCAACCAUCGAUCCUGACUUUGAUUGUCGAUCUUAGUUAUCAACACCAGAAAGACACCCCUACCAGCUAUGCCAUCGAUCGAUCUGAGGUCCCCUUGUCAGAUUGGACCUGAUCUGAAAAUCCUGCGUCUCUUUUCAAAUUCAAAUGACCACGAUGUAAUAACUGACAAUAGAG
rnacentral:lncRNA from 1 species